rnacentral:lncRNA from 1 species
AGUUGAAAUGGGUUACGUGUUAAUCCAGAUGCAUGAGGUGUGGCACUACCCCAAACUGUCAAAGACUCUGUUUAAAGGGUAUGUCAAAACGUUUCUCAAGCGUAAACAGGAGGCUUCAGGAUACCCCAGCACAGUGGAUACUGCGGAGAAACAGCAGGUGUAUGUGCAAAACUACCUGGCAAAGGAAGGCAUACAGCUGGAUCACGACAACAUGUGUGUGAACAAGGCCAUGCAUAAUUGCAACAAGUUGAUUCUAAACAGUCUGUGGGGUCGCUUUUCACUACGCCCAGACCUACCCACUUCUGAGCUAAUUUCUGAACCUGAUAGGUUCACUCAGCUCAUGUUUAGCGAUAGCUAUCACAUUAGUCACUUUUGCUUUAUCUCUGAUGAUGUGGCCCUUGUACAAUGGAAACACGUAGAUGCACGUCUCGCAAGGGCGCGGGAUGUCAACGUGAUUGUGGGGGCUGUGACUACCGCCCAUGCCAGGCUCAUGCUCUACGAUCUUCUAGACAAACUACAGGAACGUGUCCUCUAUUGUGACACAGACAGCAUCAUUUUUGUUUCCAAGGAGGGUGAUUGGGUACCCCCUUUAGGCCCUUAUCUGGGCGACUUGACCGACGAGAUAAAUGAUGGUGAUCUGUAUGGUACCGAACAGGAGGAUUACAUUAGCGAAUAUGUCUCAACAGGUCCUAAAAGCUAUGCAUACCACACCCGUCACCACAAGUCUGAGGUCAAAAGCAAAGGGGUGACUUUAAAUGCAGCAAAUGCUAAAGUGGUCACCCAGCAGACACUGAAAUGUCUAUUGGAUGAUUUUGUCAACCAUCGGCCUCAAACCCUCGACGUCACCACCACAGUAGAUACCAUCCAGCGAGAUAAGACUAGGUUUCUGCUUAAAAACGCUACUGUAGUUAAACGGCUUAGGGUGGUUUACAACAAACGCAGGGUCUUCCCCGACUACACCACGCUUCCUUACGGUUAUUAACCAUUUUGUUUAUUGUUUUUCACUUUUUUCACAUGAUCCAUGUUUUUUCUUCUUCUUCUUUUUACAUAUCGUUUUCAAAUGAUCCAUGUUUUUAUUCAUUUUAUUUUUUUGAGGGGGUAUGCAUAUUGUGUUAAGAAAAUCAAAUCAUACUAUACUAUAAUCAUGUUAUUAACUAUUUUGUUUUUAUUGUUUUCAAAUGAUCCAUGUUCUCUUCUUUCAUCUUUUUUAUUUUAAUAAUUUCUGUAUUUUGGGGGGUAUUCAUAUUGUAUCUGUAUAUACUUUU